UUGACAGCCCUGGAGAAUGAAGUCCUGGAUUUGUCCACAAAACAGAUAGUCACAGUUCAAAUUGCCCCUUACAUGUUUCUGUGCUACAGGGAAAGAAACUCAUUCAAUCAUCCUCCUCUUUCAAAAGUAGGCUUCU
ensembl:misc_RNA